rnacentral:rRNA from 1 species
CGAGAAUCUUUAGCAAUGGACGAAAGUCUGACUAUGCGACGCCGCGUGAAGGAUGAAGGUUUUCGGAUCGUAAACUUCUUUUGUCAGGAAAGAAAAUUCUUGGCUCUAACAGAGUCAAGGACUGACGGUACCU